rnacentral:rRNA from 1 species
AGCGAACGCUGGCGGCAGGCUUAACACAUGCAAGUCGAACGCCCCGCGAGGGGAGUGGCAGACGGGUGAGUAACACGUGGGAACGUACCCUUUGGUUCGGAAUAACUUGGGGAAACUCAAGCUAAUACCGGAUAAGCCCUUAUGGGGAAAGGUUUACUGCCGAAGGAUCGGCCCGCGUCUGAUUAGCUAGUUGGUGAGGUAAUGGCUCACCAAGGCGACGAUCAGUAGCUGGUCUGGGAGGAUGAUCAGCCACACUGGGACUGAGACACGGCCCAGACUCCUACGGGAGGCAGCAAUGGGGAAUAUUGGACAAUGGGGGCAACCCUGAUCCAGCCAUGCCGCGUGAGUGAUGAAGGCCUUAGGGUUGUAAAGCUCUUUUACCCGGGACGAUAAUGACUGUACCGGGAGAAUAAGCCCCGGCUAACUUCGUGCCAGCAGCCGCCGUAA